GAUGAACGCUGGCGGCGUGCCUAAUACAUGCAAGUCGAGCGAACGGACGAGAAGCUUGCUUUUCUGAUGUUAGCGGCGGACGGGUGAGUAACACGUGGAUAACCUACCUAUAAGACUGGGAUAACUUCGGGAAACCGGAGCUAAUACCGGAUAAUAUUUUGAACCGCAUGGUUCAAAAGUGAAAGACGGUCUUGCUGUCACUUAUAGAUGGAUCCGCGCUGCAUUAGCUAGUUGGUAAGGUAACGGCUUACCAAGGCAACGAUGCAUAGCCGACCUGAGAGGGUGAUCGGCCACACUGGAACUGAGACACGGUCAAGACCCAUACGGGAGGCAGCAGUAGGGAAUCUUACGCAAUGGGCGAAAGCCUGACGGAGCAACGCCGCGUGAGUGAUGAAGGUCUUCGGAUCGGAAAACUCUGUUAUUAGGGAAGAACAUAUGUGUAAGUAACUGUGCACAUCUUGACGGUACCUAAUCAGAAAGCCACGGCUAACUACGUG
rnacentral:rRNA from 1 species